rnacentral:rRNA from 1 species
CAGCAGCCACGGUAAUACGUAGGUGGCAAGUGUUGUCCGGAAUUAUUGGGCGUAAAGGGCUCGCAGGCGGUUUCUUAAGUCUGAUGUGAAAGCCCCCGGCUCAACCGGGGAGGGUCAUCGGAAACUGGGAAACUUGAGUGCAGAAGAGGAGAGUGGAAUUCCACGUGUAGCGGUGAAAUGCGUAGAGAUGUGGAGGAACACCAGUGGCGAAAGCACUCUGCUGGGCCGACACUGACACUGAGAGACGAAAGCUAGGGGAGCAAAUGGGAUUAGAUACCCCUGUAGUCCCUGUCUCUUAUAC